rnacentral:lncRNA from 10 species
CAGAGCUGCAACCCUUGUGGUUUAGGGGGAAGGGGAAGAUAAAUAUUGUGGAAAACCCACACAGUCAUUUGCCUAAUGAUUAUGAGCCAUCAGGGUUUAUAGAGGACAGCCCGGCUCUUCACAAGCCUGACGGAGGACCACGGAAUCUAGCACCUGCACAUCCAGAUGCAAAUUGGUGGUGCUGGAGAAAGAGACGGGUGACGAGCUGUCUGUGACUUCACGGCAGUGGACGGAUUCCAGCUGCUCCCUUCUACUUCUGCCCCCCAAAGACAGAAGUGCUCUGGCACUUGCGGAGGGGAAGCUUGUCCUGGCAGCGAGGACCAGAGGAUGACCCGCCCACUGGGAAAGGAGGGGCUGGCUGUGCAUGGAGUCUGUCUUGCAGAAGCAGCAGCCACUAGCUGUGGUGGGCUCUGGCCAUCAGCAGGCUAAGGCCCAGGGGAGGGUUGUGUGCCAAAGCCCCGCCACAGGCCCAGCAGUGGCGUCCACCUGUAAGCAGUUUCCCUCAUUGCAACCUUCAGGGAGCAACCACGCUGCGAUGGGCCAUGCUGGCUCUAGACGGAAAGGUGAACGAGACGCAGCCCGUGCCCUGAAGGAGCUCACAAUGAGGUCAAGGAACGGAAUAAUCAUAAAAGCCCAAUUAAUGCCAUGGCAGGGGGUGAGGGAAGAGGGGUCCUGAGCUCAGUGUGGACUAGACGAACGCUCCUCUGACUCCAAAGCAAGGCACAGGCACGUGGUGGGCCAGGCCGUGACAGCACUCGACGUCUGGGGAUGACACUGGCGGGGUGGGGUGGGGGGGUGUCUGGGGGAGAGAGAAGGCUCCAGGAGACUGGGGCAGACCAUGCCACGUGAGGGAGUUUAGACUUUGCUUUCUGGAGAGGAGCUUCUGUGGGGUUUUAAGCAGGGAGAUGGCAAUCAGACUGCCCUAAAAUCAGGGUUGACACAGAAAACCUUCAUGACCCUGGGGCAGUUCUGCUGUGAGGCGCUGGGUG